rnacentral:rRNA from 1 species
GAUUAGAGUUUGAUCCUGGCUCAGGAUGAACGCUAGCGGCAGGCUUAACACAUGCAAGUCGAGGGGUAACAGGGGAGCUUGCUUCUGCUGACGACCGGCGCACGGGUGCGUAACGCGUAUAGAAUCUGCCUCAUACUGAGGGAUAGCCUUUGGAAACGAAGAUUAAUACCUCAUAGUAUAUCGACUCGGCAUCGGGAUGAUAUUAAAGGUUACGGUAUGAGAUGACUAUGCGUCCUAUUAGCUUGUUGGUAAGGUAACGGCUUACCAAGGCUACGAUAGGUAGGGGCCCUGAGAGGGGGAUCCCCCACACUGGUACUGAGACACGGACCAGACUCCUACGGGAGGCAGCAGUGAGGAAUAUUGGACAAUGGAGGCAACUCUGAUCCAGCCAUGCCGCGUGAAGGAUGACUGCCCUAUGGGUUGUAAACUUCUUUUAUAUAGGAAGAAACAGUUUCUCGUGAGAAACCUUGACGGUACUAUAUGAAUAAGCACCGGCUAACUCCGUGCCAGCAGCCGCGGUAAUACGGAGGGUGCAAGCGUUAUCCGGAAUCAUUGGGUUUAAAGGGUCCGUAGGCGGAUAGAUAAGUCAGAGGUGAAAUCCUGCAGCUCAACUGUAGAAUUGCCUUUGAAACUGUUUAUCUUGAGUUAUUGUGAAGUGGUUAGAAUAUGUAGUGUAGCGGUGAAAUGCUUAGAGAUUACAUGGAAUACCGAUUGCGAAGGCAGAUCACUAACAAUAUACUGACGCUGAUGGACGAAAGCGUGGGGAGCGAACGGGAUUAGAUACCCCGGUAGUCCACGCCGU